rfam:Shinella sp. HZN7 plasmid pShin-02, complete sequence.
GCGCGGGCCGUGUCAACCGGACGCGACAGGGAUGGCGGACAUGGUGGUUUUUCCGGUUUCUCACCAUGGCCAACGAAACGGCAGUCGAGCGCCCAACCUGUCCGGACC